AAAUUGAAGAGUUUGAUCAUGGCUCAGAUUGAACGCUGGCGGCAGGCCUAACACAUGCAAGUCGAACGGUAACAGGAAGCAGCUUGCUGCUUUGCUGACGAGUGGCGGACGGGUGAGUAAUGUCUGGGAAACUGCCUGAUGGAGGGGGAUAACUACUGGAAACGGUGGCUAAUACCGCAUAACGUCGCAAGACCAAAGAGGGGGACCUUCGGGCCUCUUGCCAUCAGAUGUGCCCAGAUGGGAUUAGCUUGUUGGUGAGGUAACGGCUCACCAAGGCGACGAUCCCUAGCUGGUCUGAGAGGAUGACCAGCCACACUGGAACUGAGACACGGUCCAGACUCCUACGGGAGGCAGCAGUGGGGAAUAUUGCACAAUGGGCGCAAGCCUGAUGCAGCCAUGCCGCGUGUAUGAAGAAGGCCUUCGGGUUGUAAAGUACUUUCAGCGGGGAGGAAGGUGUUGUGGUUAAUAACCGCAGCAAUUGACGUUACCCGCAGAAGAAGCACCGGCUAACUCCGUGCCAGCAGCCGCGGUAAUACGGAGGGUGCAAGCGUUAAUCGGAAUUACUGGGCGUAAAGCGCACGCAGGCGGUCUGUCAAGUCGGAUGUGAAAUCCCCGGGCUCAACCUGGGAACUGCAUUCGAAACUGGCAGGCUUGAGUCUUGUAGAGGGGGGUAGAAUUCCAGGUGUAGCGGUGAAAUGCGUAGAGAUCUGGAGGAAUACCGGUGGCGAAGGCGGCCCCCUGGACAAAGACUGACGCUCAGGUGCGAAAGCGUGGGGAGCAAACAGGAUUAGAUACCCUGGUAGUCCACGCCGUAAACGAUGUCUACUUGGAGGUUGUGCCCUUGAGGCGUGGCUUCCGGAGCUAACGCGUUAAGUAGACCGCCUGGGGAGUACGGCCGCAAGGUUAAAACUCAAAUGAAUUGACGGGGGCCCGCACAAGCGGUGGAGCAUGUGGUUUAAUUCGAUGCAACGCGAAGAACCUUACCUGGUCUUGACAUCCACGGAAGUUUUCAGAGAUGAGAGUGUGCCUUCGGGAACCGUGAGACAGGUGCUGCAUGGCUGUCGUCAGCUCGUGUUGUGAAAUGUUGGGUUAAGUCCCGCAACGAGCGCAACCCUUAUCCUUUGUUGCCAGCGGUCCGGCCGGGAACUCAAAGGAGACUGCCAGUGAUAAACUGGAGGAAGGUGGGGAUGACGUCAAGUCAUCAUGGCCCUUACGACCAGGGCUACACACGUGCUACAAUGGCGCAUACAAAGAGAAGCGACCUCGCGAGAGCAAGCGGACCUCAUAAAGUGCGUCGUAGUCCGGAUUGGAGUCUGCAACUCGACUCCAUGAAGUCGGAAUCGCUAGUAAUCGUGGAUCAGAAUGCCACGGUGAAUACGUUCCCGGGCCUUGUACACACCGCCCGUCACACCAUGGGAGUGGGUUGCAAAAGAAGUAGGUAGCUUAACCUUCGGGAGGGCGCUUACCACUUUGUGAUUCAUGACUGGGGUGAAGUCGUAACAAGGUAACCGUAGGGGAACCUGC
rnacentral:rRNA from 1 species